AACGAACGCUGGCGGCAUGCCUAACACAUGCAAGUCGAACGAGACCUUCGGGUCUAGUGGCGCACGGGUGCGUAACGCGUGGGAACCUGCCUUUAGGUUCGGGAUAACAGUUGGAAACGACUGCUAAUACCGAAUGAUGUCUUCGGACCAAAGAUUUAUCGCCUUUAGAUGGGCCCGCGUUGGAUUAGGUAGUUGGUGGGGUAAAGGCCUACCAAGCCGACGAUCCAUAGCUGGUCUGAGAGGAUGAUCAGCCACACUGGGACUGAGACACGGCCCAG
rnacentral:rRNA from 1 species